UACGUAGGUCGCAAGCGUUGUCCGGAUUUACUGGGCGUAAAGAGCGCGCAGGCGGCUGGUCAAGUCCGAUGUGAAAUCUCCCGGCUUAACUGGGAAACUGCAUCGGAAACUGAUCGGCUUGAAGGUGGGAGAGGGUAGUGGAAUUCCCGGUGUAGUGGUGAAAUGCGUAGAUAUCGGAAGGAACAUCAGUGGCGAAAGCGACUUCCUGGACCAAUACUGACGCUCAUGUGCGAAAGCGUGGGGAGCAAACAGG
rnacentral:rRNA from 1 species